AUAGAGACUCAGAGCUGCAUAUCAAUAAGCGGAGGAAAAGAAACUAACAAGGAUUCCCCUAGUAACGGCGAGUGAAGCGGGAAGAGCUCAAAUUUGAAAUCUUCAAGGUUCUACCUUGACGAAUUGUAGUUUAUAGAAGUGUUUUCUGUUAGUAGGAGUGGCAAAAGUUCUUUGGAAUAGGACAUCAUAGAGGGUGAGAAUCCCGUAUUUGGUCAUUCCUUCUAGCUUUGUGAUACACUUUCAAAGAGUCGGAUUGUUUGGGAAUGCAGUCCAAAAUGGGUGGUAAAUUUCAUCUAAAGCUAAAUAUUGGCGAGAGACCGAUAGCGAACAAGUACCGUGAGGGAAAGAUGAAAAGAACUUUGAAAAGAGAGUUAAACAGUACGUGAAAUUGUCAAAAGGGAAGCGUUUGACACCAGUGUUGUUUUCUCGAAAAUCAAUUAAUGAUGGCCUGAUGUUAGGUGUUCAUGACCUUUAUAAGCUUACUGUUCUUAGUUUUCUUGUCUUUGCUGAAUGCACUUUUCGUUUAACAAGUCAACAUCAAUUUCUUUUGUUGUAAAAGGGUUAAUAGGAAGGUGGCUUUACUUUCGGUGAAAGUGUUUAUAGCCUUUGACUCUGCAAUCGGAGAGAUUGAGGUCUGCAGCGUAGAUCCUUCGGGGCUAGAUACGUUUGUGCUAAGUUAUAGCUUUUCAUAGACAACUUGUUGACUAUGUUUAGUCUUGUAGACUUACUCGCAUUACGCUAUUUUACCUACGCUUAGGAUGUUGAUAGUCACAGCGUGUAC
rnacentral:rRNA from 1 species